rnacentral:rRNA from 1 species
AUUGAACGCUGGCGGCAGGCCUAACACAUGCAAGUCGAGCGGCAGCGGGAAAGUAGCUUGCUACUUUUGCCGGCGAGCGGCGGACGGGUGAGUAAUGCCUGGGGAUCUGCCCAGUCGAGGGGGAUAACUACUGGAAACGGUAGCUAAUACCGCAUACACCCUACGGGGGAAAGCAGGGGACCUUCGGGCCUUGCGCGAUUGGAUGAACCCAGGUGGGAUUAGCUAGUUGGUGAGGUAAUGGCUCACCAAGGCGACGAUCCCUAGCUGGUCUGAGAGGAUGAUCAGCCACACUGGAACGGAGACACGGUCCAGACUCCUACGGGAGGCAGCAGUGGGGAAUAUUGCACAAUGGGGGAAACCCUGAUGCAGCCAUGCCGCGUGUGUGAAGAAGGCCUUCGGGUUGUAAAGCACUUUCAGCGAGGAGGAAAGGUUGGUAGCUAAUAACUGCCAGCUGUGACGUUACUCGCAGAAGAAGCACCGGCUAACUCCGUGCCAGCAGCCGCCGUAAAAC